AUAAUUUAUUGCGAAACAACAAACACCCAGGUACAAAAUGUUGCUGAAAUUAAUUGCCGUUUGCGUGGCGAUUGCAGGUGUGACGGUUGAAUGUGAAUCAGUGUUGAACCAUCCGAGUCCCUUCGACCAACAGAUCCUAAACCUAACCCUGCAAUGCAAGCCGGUUGGCGCCAAAGAACACACAGUCGAUGUCGUGAACGCAUGCUCCCAUAUAGAAGCUCUAGAGACCUGCGUAGUGGACAUAUUAAAGAGCUACCCCAAGCCCCCAAGCCCUCGCUUCGUCGAAGAAAUGUUUGACGACGUAUUUGAGUUAAGUCACUGCAAGUCGGCUACUAGAAACACCCCCCUCAGUGUAUUUUAUAUAAUAAUAAUUCUUUAUCAUUUAUUAGGAUUUUUUAUUAAAUACAUUUUAUAAGUUUAUCGUAA